rnacentral:rRNA from 1 species
CCUACGGGUGGCAGCAGUGGGGGAUAUUGCACAAUGGGGGAAACCCUGAUGCAGCGACGCCGCGUGGGUGAAGAAGCGCCUCGGCGCGUAAAGCCCUGUCAGCAGGGAAGAAAAUGACGGUACCUGAAGAAUAAGCCACGGCUAACUACGUCCCAGCAGCCGCGGUAAUACGUAGGGGACAAGCGUUAUCCGGAUUUACUGGGUGUAAAGGGCGUGUUGGCGGGAAAGCAAGUCAGAUGUGAAAACCAUGGGCGCAACCUGUGGCCUGCAUUUGAAACGGUUUUUCUUGAGUACUGGAGAGGCAGACGGAAUUCCUAGGGUAGCGGUGAAAGGCGUAGAUAGUAGGAGGAACACCAGUGGCGAAGGCGGUCUGCUGGACAGCAACUGACGCUGAGGCGCGAAAGCGUGGGGGGCAAACAGGAUGAGAUACCCUAGUAGUC